AAAAAUAGAAAGAAGCAGAGAAGUCCGCUUCACAGAGAGAGAAGAUGAGCGAGAGAAAUCUCAACAGCAAACGAGAAUCGCGAGAGCUUGAAGCUUCAAGCACAAGCGUCUCCCCACUCCAGAAGAAGAAGAAGCUCGAUGAUUCUUCAGCCGACUCUCAUGCCGUCGUCCUCGCGAUUCCCUCUCCUUCCGUAGCUUCAACGCAAGGUAGAUACUCUGUCACCUCUGACGACGAUGAUAAAAGCUCUAUCGUCAGCUCCGGCUGUUUCAGCAGUGAAUCGAACGAAACCGUGAGGAACAAUCCA
rnacentral:lncRNA from 1 species